CCUUCUUAUACUUUUUUUCCUAAUCGUCCCUCCAGUGAACCUAGCUUUUCUAGCCCUGCCUUUUCAGAGUUUUUUUUCUUUUUUUUUUCUCCCCCGCCCCCAGCACCUUCUUUAAGGCUAAAGCUCCAUUUAAAAUGGUACGUGUGAUCCCUGGUAUAAGCUUGAAUCUCAAAGGAAGGAUGAAAAGGAGCCUUCGGUGGAGAUCCGAAGUGGCCUUUCAGUCUUGGGCACAGCUGCGGGGAUCAGAGUGUAUUGUAUUGCUCACACUGGGGGUUAUAAAGAAGACUCUAGCAGAUACUUAGAGACCAGUCCACGGCCAGCAGAACUGACUCUCAAUGCAACAGCCUGAGCACAACCUGGGACAGAAUGCCAGCAAGACAACACUCUCCUCUGGGCCCCUGGGACUCCAGGACAGCGGACAUUUAUUAUUUCCUAUAUGAUGGUGGGUGCCAGGUGCUUUGCCAGGCACAGAGACAUAAAGCUGCUCACAGUCUCCAGCAGGUGAGGAGACAGUAGAGAAACAAUUCUAAAUAAAUGGGUGCCAUUCCAUGUGA